rnacentral:hammerhead_ribozyme from 1 species
AUCCAGCUGACAAGUCCCAAACAGCACGAAACGCACGUCCUGAAU